rnacentral:lncRNA from 1 species
UCCUCUAGGUCAGAGAACUUAAAGAAGAAGAAGAAGGGACAGGUCGGUGAAUACCACUCUGGUGGUGAUGGUCGUGUUGCCCACACUCCUCAUCUCUGAUACCACUUUCUCCUACAGUCCGGCAUGACAAAGGAAAAGAAGAUCCAGGAGGCGCAGGAUGAGGACGUGCCUCUCUCCCUGGAUCUCCGUGAGGAGGUUCAAAGGAUAAAGACAGCACAGACCCACAUGGCACAGACAAUGAAGGAGUUGGCUGCCUCGAUAAAGAAGUUGGAGGAGGACAUUAAAAAGCUUAGGCAGGAUACAACCCAGUGGAGAGAAGAGACCAGUGAAGAGCUCUCUCAGCAAAUUGAGGCUGUGCUGCAGGAAACAAAGCGGGAGCUGCAGAAGAUGGAAGAGCAGGAGGAGAUGAGGAGUGCCAUGCUGGAACAGCUGCUGACAGCGAACCAGGUGGCUGGAACAGAGGAGACAGUGGGGAGCGUGGAGGAGGAGCAGAAGGCAAAGGGGGAGUGCUCCAGCUGCUCUGUCGACAUCAAUGAGCAGUUCAGGGAGCUCCUCCUGCGCUGUGAGAAACUCCAGGAGCAGGUGGACUCCCUGGAGUCUCGCCAGGUGGCCAUGGGCAAGCUUGAAAGGAUGAUGAGGAAUUCGGGCCAGGACCAGGAGAUGAUGCAGCCCAAGGAUGCCACAGUUAUGCAGGUUCAAAGGGACUAUGAGAAGCUCAGCUUCAUCUCAGAGAGUCUCCAGAAGGACUCUCAA